rnacentral:rRNA from 1 species
AGCAGUCGCCGCGGGAAUACGUAGGGUGCAAGCGUUAAUCGGAAUUACUGGGCGUAAAGCGUGCGCAGGCGGUUAUAUAAGACAGAUGUGAAAUCCCCGGGCUCAACCUGGGAACUGCAUUUGUGACUGUAUAGCUAGAGUACGGCAGAGGGGGAUAGAAUUCCGCGUGUAGCAGUGAAAUGCGUAGAUAUGCGGAGGAACACCGAUGGCGAAGGCAAUCCCCUGGGCCUGUACUGACGCUCAUGCACGAAAGCGUGGGGAGCAAACAGGAUUAGAUACCCCUGUAGUCCCUGUCUCUUAUAA